CUGUAUGGUGGCGCAGUUGGUAGCACUGUUGCCUUGCAGCGAGAAGGUCCUGGGUUUGACUCCCAGCUUGGGGU